AGCAGGCACACGAGGAUACAGUCUAGCUCUAGAUGGUGUCCAGUUGCAGAAAAGAAAGGGGGUAGAAUUUUGCUCCCGGUACCUGAGGAAAGCCGCUUCAAGGGCAUAGGAGUCACAGACAGAGCACAGAGGCAGCACACACACAGAGAGCUCAGCUCUGGUCCAGAGGGAUUCCACUGUGAGAAACCAAAGUCACUGUCUUCUUCUGUUUCACUUCAGCCAAGCUUGAAUUGAAUCGAUUUUCAAGGGUCUUCGACGUCACCGGGAUGGCAGAGGCACAUCAGGCAGUUGGCUUCCAGUUCACCGUCACCUCAGACAGCAUCGACCGCCACCUGAGCCGCGAGGUACUCAAACACAUCUACCUGUCGGGAGUGACGUCAUGGACAAAGCGCGCCAUAAGAUUUAAAAAUGGGAUAUUGACAGGUGUCAGCCCAUCUAGUUUGCUGAUCGUUGUGAUAGCCAUAUUGAGCACCAUAUAUGCCAGGAUAGACCCAUCACUGGGAAUGAUAGACACCAUCAAGAGGACCCUGUCUGUCAGUGGCUACAUGACAGUGCAGACCCAGACAGUGCUGAGUGCCAUCCUGUUUUCCACAGGCCUGUGGCUCUCUCUCAUCCUCAUGCUGAGGUACAUUCUCAAGGCCCUUCUCUCCUACCAUGCCUGGAUCUUUGAGUCCCACGGCAAAAUUAGCUUCUGCACCAAACUCUGGCUGAGUCUGGUGAAGAUGUUCUCUGGGCGCAGACCUCUCCUCUAUAGCUUCCAGACCUCCCUACCCAGACUACAUGUGCCUAGUGUGGAUGACACCAUAAGCAGGUACCUGGAGUCAGUGCGCCCCCUGUUGGAUGAUGAGCAGUACAACCAGAUGGAGGUGGUGGCCAAUGACUUCAAGAAGGACCAGGCACCCAAACUCCAGAAAUACCUCAUCCUCAAAUCCUGGUGGGCUACUAACUAUGUGAGUGAUUGGUGGGAGGAGUACAUCUACCUUAGAGGCAGGAGUCCCAUCAUGGUCAACAGUAACUUCUACUCCAUGGAUCUGCUGUACGUGACUCCCACACACAGACAGGCAGUUCGGGCAGGGAAUGUUGUUCAUGCUAUGCUGCAGUACCGCCGCAAACUAGAGAGAGGAGAACAUGCACCGUUGAGGGCUCUGGGGGUGGUGCCCAUGUGUUCUUAUCAGAUGGAGAGGAUGUUCAACACCACACGUAUCCCUGGUAUAGAGACAGACUUUGUUCAGCACCUGAGUGACCGGAAGCACCUGGUGGUGUACCAUAAGGGCCGCUUCUUUAAGGUGUGGCUGUACUACGGGGGGCGUCACCUCUGGCCCUCUGAGCUGGAGACUCAGUUCCAGAGGAUCCUCGUCGACACCACCGUGCCACAGCCUGGGGAACUCAAACUGGCUGCCCUCACAGCCGGCAACAGAGUUCCGUGGGCGCGGGCUCGUCUGAAGUACUUCAGACAGGGUGUUAACAAAGCCUCUCUGGAGGCCAUCGAGACGUCAGCUUUCUUCCUCAGCCUUGAUGACGAGGUGCAUGGUUAUGACCCUGACAAGCUGAGGUCAUUGGACCUGUAUGCCAAGUCCCUGCUGCACGGGAAGUGCUAUGACAGGUGGUUUGACAAAUCUUUCACUCUGAUCACUUAUAAGAACGGUAAACUGGGGGUUAAUGCAGAACACUCAUGGGCAGACGCUUCUAUUAUAGGACACAUGUGGGAGUAUGUCCUAGCAACGGACUGCUUCCAUUUGGGCUACACAGAGGAGGGACACUGCAAAGGAGACAUCAACAAGGGCCUGCCUCCCCCCACCAAACUGCAAUGGGACAUUCCACUGGAGUGCCAGGAGGUCAUUGAGGAGUCCUACAUGGUUGCCAAGGUGAUAGCUGAUGACGUGGACUUUCAUGGCUGUCUGUUUGAUGAGUUUGGGAAAGGCCUGAUCAAGAAGAGUAGGACCAGUCCUGAUGCCUUCAUACAGCUAGCACUACAGCUGGCCCAAUUCAGGGAUAAGGGGGAGUUCUGUCUGACGUAUGAGGCCUCAAUGACCCGGAUGUUCCGUGAGGGUAGGACAGAGACGGUUCGCUCCUGCACCUCAGAGUCCACAGCCUUUGUCAGAGCCAUGGAGGACAAGAACACUGCGAGUGCCCAAAAGUUGGACCUCUUCCGGAAGGCCGCAGACAAACACCAGAACAUGUACCGUCUGGCCAUGACAGGCUCUGGCAUCGACAGACACCUCUUCUGUCUCUACAUCAUGUCUAAGUACCUCAGCAUCGACUCACCAUUCCUCAAACAGGUGUUGUCAGAACCCUGGAGGUUGUCCACUAGUCAGACUCCUCAACAGCAGCUCAACAUGGUUGACAUGAAGAAGUUUCCCAGAUACGUGGGCGCGGGGGGGGGGGGUUCGGCCCUGUGGCUGAUGACGGCUAUGGCAUCUCUUACAUCAUUAUAGGAGAGAACCUGAUCACAUUCCACAUCUCCAGCAAGUUUUCCAGCCCUGAGACGGACUCGUACCGCUUUGGACAGAACAUUCGACAGGCCAUGCUGGACAUUCGUGCGCUAUUCGACCAAAAAGCUCUGGAUAAGAGCGUCUGCUAAAUGACUUAAAUGUAAUGUAAAUGUAAAAAGACAAGAAGGAGAAGGAGAUGUGAUACGAAGACAGUCUGGAAGGUCUUUUUAGCCUUCAUACCACAUUUUUGUGCUCUGUGACUUUACAACAUGGUUUCCCAACGGCUGGUCACGACUAGUCUCUUCUGGGUAACGACUUUAGACUGGGUUAAGUUAUAAAGCUUCUGGAUAUCUACUCAGAGAGCAGGAGGAAUUGCUUUGCAGAAGAAUACAUAUUUAAUAAAGCAUUUUCACUAUUUAUAUCAGACACUAUCCUUUCUAUAAAAGGGCAGUGAAUUUUGAGUAUAGUUUUGAACCGAUUCUGGCAAGAGCAAUGGAGCACAUAAUGCCUUGGUGGCCAUAUAGAACUAUUAUUAAUCUGAUUUUGAUUGUAGUAGAAUGAUAUAUGGAUGUAGCCUUGUAAGGAUAGGCCACUAUCUGUUUAGAGAGGUCAUAGUAUUUGCUUCUGAUUGUAAUAUGUGUACACUUGUAUAUACCAUUGUUUUGAGUAUUUUAAGUGUUGUAAUAUAUAAGGUUGUAUAUCGGAAUCUGUUAUGCUUAUGUAUUUGUGUUUAUUAGUAUAUUAUAAAGGAUAUGUUGAUUGUU